GACGAACGCUGGCGGCGUGCUUAACACAUGCAAGUCGAACGAAGUGGCGGACGGGUGAGUAACGAGUAAUCAACCUGCCCUUCAGAGGGGGACAACAGUUGGAACCGACUGCUAAUACAGCAUACUGAAGGACGGGGUUGUGGUUGAUGAGCUAGGGGGAGGGGUAACGGCCGACCAAGGCGAUGAUCAGUAGCCGGUCUGAGAGGAUGAACGGCCACAUUGGGAACGAGACACGGCCCAGACUCCUACGGGAGGCAUCAGUGGGGAAUCUUCCGCAAUGGACGAAAGUCUGACGGAGCAACGCCGCGUGAGUGAUGACGGCCUUCGGGUUGGAAAGCUCUGUUAAUCGGGACGCGGUACCGGAAUAGAAAGCCACGGCUAACUACGUGCCAGCCGCCGCGGUAAUAC
rnacentral:rRNA from 1 species